GCAAGUCGAGGGGCAGCAUGAACUUAGUUUGCUAAGUUUGAUGGCGACCGGCGCACGGGUGAGUAACAUGUAUCCAACCUCUCGCUUACUCAGGAAUAGCCUUUAGAAAGAAAGAUUAAUGCCGGAUGGUAUCUUAAGCACACAUGUAAUUAAGAUUAAAGAUUUAUCGGUAAGCGAUGGGGAUGCGUUCCAUUAGGUAGUAGGCGGGGUAACGGCCCACCUAGCCGACGAUGGAUAGGGGUUCUGAGAGGAAGAUC
rnacentral:rRNA from 1 species